rnacentral:rRNA from 1 species
AUGGCUGCGCCGCCGCCGGCGGCGACGGAGAAGAAGAAGACGUUCGUGCUCUACCCGUCGCUGGGCGUGGGCCACCUGAACCCCAUGGUGGAGCUGGCCAAGCACCUGCUCCGCCGCGGCCACAGCGCCGUCGUCGCCGUCGUCGACCCGCCCGACGGCGACCCCACCUCGGCCGCCGCGGUGGCGCGUCUCGCCGAGGCCAACCCCUCCAUCGCCUUCCGGCUCCUCCCGGCCCCGCCCAGCCCGGACCCCGCCGCGCACCCCAUCAAGCGCGCCCACGACACCCUCCGCCUCGCCAACCCCGCGCUCCGGGCCUUCCUGCGCGCGCUGCCGGCCCCCGCCCACGCCAUCCUCCUCGACAUGUUCUGCGUCGACGCGCUCGACGUCGCCGCCGACCUCGCCCUCCCCGCCUACUUCUUCUUCGCCUCCGCCGCCAGCGACCUCGCCGUCUUCCUCCACAUGCCGUACCUCUACCCCGGCCUUCCGUCGUUCAAGGACAUGGGCGAGCUCGUGCGCAGCCCCGGCAUGCGCCCGGUCCGCGCGGCGGACAUGCCGCUGUCGGUGCAGGACAAGGAGAGCGACAUGACCAAAGCCCGGAUGUACCAGUUCAAGCGCAUCGCGGAGGGGAGGGGCGUCCUGGUAUUCGACUGGCUGGAGCCCACGGCCCUGAAGGCGCUCGCCGACGGCGUCUGCGUGCCCGGCCGGCCGACGCCGAGGGUGUUCUGCGUCGGGCCGUUGGUCAACGACGGCAAGAAGAGCGGGGGCGGCGAGACGCGGCACGAGUGCCUCGCGUGGCUGGACGCGCAGCCGGAGCGGAGCGUCGUGUUCCUCUGCUUCGGCAGCAUCGGCGCCGUGUCCGCGGCGCAGCUGAGGGAGAUAGCCCAUGGGCUGGAGAGCUCCGGCCAUCGCUUCCUGUGGGUCGUACGGAGCCCACCUGCGGACCCGGCCGACGUCUUCCAGCCGCGCCCGGAGCCAGACCUGGACGCGCUCCUCCCCAAGGGGUUCACGGAGAGGACACGGGACAGAGGGAUGGUGCUGAAGAUGUGGGCGCCGCAGGCAGAGGUGCUGCGGCACGCCGCCACCGGCGCCUUCGUGACGCACUGCGGGUGGAACUCGGCGCUGGAGGCGAUCAUGGCCGGGGUGCCGAUGAUAUGCUACCCGAUGUACGCCGAGCAGGCGCUGAACAAGGUGUUCAUGGUGGAGGAGAUGAAGAUCGCCGUGCCGUUGGAGGGAUACGAGAAGAGAAUGGUGAAGGCGGGGGAGAUAGAGGCCAAGCUGAGGCUGGUGAUGGAGACUGAGGAAGGGACGGAGCUCAGGGAGACGCUUGCGACGGCGAGGAAGAUGGCGUCCGACGCCAUCGGCGACGGCGGGUCUUCUGACGUGGCAUUCGCCGAGUUCUUGGGAGAUUUGGAGAAUGGAGGAUGCAACAAUUGA